CUUUUAGUUUGAAGACAGAUUUUGCUGGCUCCUGCUGUUGGUCUUAGCAACGCGUCGUCGCGUAGCGUAGGGGUUUUGUUUAUGCAACGUUAGCUAGCGUCUAUGAGAUUUCUACAUAAACCCGCGCUGUUGUUGGUAACGUUUUUUGGAGCCAUUAUUAAGACACCAGUUGCAGGGGAGGAUGCUCCAAUGCCUUUGGUGUGACUGACAGACCCGCCUUGGAGCCAUCACUAUGUCGGUGAUCAGCAGCCUUGUCCCCGCGCGUUUCCUCACACUCAUAGCCCACCUCGUCAUUGUCAUCACCAUAUUUUGGUCAAGGGAAAACAAUGUUAGGGCUUCUUUGCCCUUGCAGUUUACAAAAGAGGAAUAUGAUCAGGAGGACACUAGGUUGGUGAUAGGACUGUCUGUCACUCUUGGCCUGUUUUUCAUAGAACUGUCUGGGUUUUUCUCAGGAGUAUCUAUGUUUAACAGCAGCCAAGGGCUCCUUUCCCUGGCAGCCCACUGCAGCGCGUCUAUCUGUCUGUCCUUCUUUGUGUUCCAGAAGUGGCAGUGCUGGACCUACUGGUUCAUUUUUGCCUUUUGCAGUCAGAUUCACAUCCAAGUAAUGAACAGGAAAAACAAGUGAAAAUCUGUCCCCUUUAAGAAUUGAAACUGCAAUGAACAAGAAUUGUACUGGUCAGACAUCCAGAUAUAAAUGUGUUUCCAGCCCUGGUGGAGCUUGUUCUCUUCUUUGCUGUCUUUGGGUUAAAAAAGAAGCCCCUCUGAGUUAUUAAUACAACAGCUGUUUCUUUAAAAUAUGACAACCACAUCAUGACAGUGAUUGACAGUACAAUCAGGGGGGUAUUCCAAGUACGUGCUUUAGUGACAAACCUGGGUAAGUUAACUCAGAGUAAGUGGUAAACCUCCUACAACAAGAGCCCUAUGUCAUUGUUUUGUUAGGAGAAUGAAGCCAUACAGCUUCUUCUAUUAGGAGAUUUACCACUUACUCUGAGUUAACUUCCCCAGGUUUGUCACUAAACCACAUACUUGGAAUACCCCCCAGUUGUUUAGCAUAUGUUUACAAUUUAUUGUAUGCUCUGUGUGAUUUGUUUUGUAUUCUUUUCUUUGUCCCUUUAAUGUUUAAAUAAACACUUUUGUAUAAAAAAAACAUUUUUUCGUUCUUCAUGAUCAAGUGUUGUAUUGUGUUGUCACUGAACAGCACAAAAGCAAUAUCGUAUAUAUAAAUCGUAAUCGUAUCGUAUCGUAAAUAUAUUUCGGGGAAGAAGUCAAGUGUUGAAAGCCUGGUUGAUUUCUGCAGAUUGAUACUUAUCAUAGUA